rnacentral:rRNA from 1 species
AGAGUUUGAUUAUGGCUCAGAACGAACGCUGGCGGCGCGUUUUAAGCAUGCAAGUCGAGCGGCAAGGGUCUUCGGGCCCCUAGAGCGGCGGACGGGUGAGUAACACGUGGACAAUCUGCCCCCCGGCCGGGGAUAGCCCAGGGAAACCUGGAUUAAUACCGGAUGAGACGGGACCCGCGGAGGCGGGAUCCGGGAAAGGCGCUGCGGCGCCGCCGGGGGAUGAGUCUGCGUCCCAUUAGCUUGACGGCGGGGUAACGGCCCACCGUGGCGACGAUGGGUAGCCGGCCUGAGAGGGUGGACGGCCACAUUGGAACUGAGACACGGUCCAGACUCCUACGGGAGGCAGCAGCUAAGAAUCUUCCGCAAUGGGCGAAAGCCUGACGGAGCGACGCCGCGUGAACGAAGAAGGCCGUGAGGUUGUAAAGUUCUUUUCGGGAGGGGGAACAACCGUGGCAGGGAAUGGCCGCGGGAUGACGUGAAUCCCGGAAUAAGCCCCGGCUAACUACGUGCCAGCAGCCGCGGUAACACGUAGGGGGCGAGCGUUGUUCGGAAUCAUUGGGCGUAAAGGGCGUGCAGGCGGUCCUGCAAGUCCGGCGUGAAAGACCCCGGCCCAACCGGGGGGGCGCGCUGGAAACUGCAGGGCUUGAGUACAGGAGGGGAUGCCGGAAUUCCAGGUGUAGGGGUGAAAUCUGUAGAUAUCUGGAGGAACACCAAUGGCGAAAGGCAGGCAUCUGGCCAUGUACUGACGCUGAGACGCGAAAGGUGCGGGGAGCAAACAGGAUUAGAUACCCUGGUAGU